rnacentral:lncRNA from 1 species
UUUACCUAAAUCACAAAAAGCAACUGGUUAUUUAGACAUUGAUCUUCAUUUAAAUUAAGGCAUUCUGGGAGUCAAGAUGGCCUCAUAGAAGGAGCAGAGGUUCAGACCUCUGAAAACCCUUCUUUAUUGAUCACAAACUGAAUGCUCCUAGGGGACUAAAAAUCAAACCCAACAACAAGACAGAGCCAAGGAACCCUCCUGCUGGACUCAAUUCAAAAGGCAACUCUGCCUCUUGAUAAAGCCUGUGUUCCUUUUACUGUGUCCAACACAAACCAGACUUGUCAACUUGAAGUGAAAUCACUAGCAAAAAAUGAGGAGAAUUUGUAAAAUCAAGAGAGCAUAUGAAUACUGAGAAAUGGAGGUCAGCAUUUUGUUAAGGUAAAAAGAUUGAAACAAAGAGACAAAGUGAAAGAACAAAUUAAACCUUCCUGAAAGACCUGGAGAAACAGACUAUAAAGGAAAAAAGAAAAGAAGAAUGUGACUGUCCCUUUGUCAUGAUGUUUGUUGAAGGUCAUGCAUUAAUGAACUUGCAUUUUCCUAAAGGUAAUGGACAAA